rnacentral:rRNA from 1 species
UACGGGGGGGGCAAGCGUUGUUCGGAAUUACUGGGCGUAAAGGGCUCGUAGGCGGCCAACUAAGUCAGACGUGAAAUCCCUCGGCUUAACCGGGGAACUGCGUCUGAUACUGGAUGGCUUGAGAUUGGGAGAGGGAUGCGGAAUUCCAGGUGUAGCGGUGAAAUGCGUAGAUAUCUGGAGGAACACCGGUGGCGAAGGCGGCAUCCUGGACUGGUCCUGACACUCAGGAGCGAAAGCGUGGGGAGCGAGUCCGG